rnacentral:rRNA from 1 species
GACGAAGGAUGCAAGCGUUAUCCGGAUUCAUUGGGUUUAAAGGGAGCGUAGGCGGAUUGGUAAGUCAGUGGUGAAAUCUGUGGGCUUAACCCACAAACUGCCAUUGAUACUGCUGAUCUAGAGUACAGUUGCCGUUGGCGGAAUAUGACAUGUAGUGGUGAAAUACUUAGAUAUGUCAUAGAACACCGAUUGCGAAGGCAGCUAACGAAGCUGUAACUGACGCUGAGGCUCGAAAGUGCGGGGAGCAAACAGG